rnacentral:rRNA from 1 species
UACGGGGGGGGCAAGCGUUGUUCGGAAUUACUGGGCGUAAAGGGCUCGUAGGCGGCCAACUAAGUCCGACGUGAAAUCCCCAGGCUUAACCUGGGAACUGCGUCGGAUACUGGAUGGCUUGAAUUCGGGAGAGGGAUGUGGAAUUCCAGGUGUAGCGGUGAAAUGCGUAGAUAUCGGGAGGAACACCAAUGGCGAAGGCAGCUCGCUGGGACGGUACUGACGCUGAGACGCGAAAGCGUGGGGAGCAAACAGG